UGUCUCCAUGUCAUUUUCCAU
rnacentral:piRNA from 1 species